rnacentral:rRNA from 1 species
GACGAACGCUGGCGGCGUGCUUAACACAUGCAAGUCGAACGGAAAGGCCCUGCUUGCAGGGUACUCGAGUGGCGAACGGGUGAGUAACACGUGGGUGAUCUGCCCUGCACUUCGGGAUAAGCCUGGGAAACUGGGUCUAAUACCGGAUAGGAGCCAUUUUUAGUGUGAUGGUUGGAAAGUUUUUUCGGUGUAGGAUGAGCUCGCGGCCUAUCAGCUUGUUGGUGGGGUAAUGGCCUACCAAGGCGGCGACGGGUAGCCGGCCUGAGAGGGUGGACGGCCACAUUGGGACUGAGAUACGGCCCAGACUCCUACGGGAGGCAGCAGUGGGGAAUAUUGCACAAUGGGCGCAAGCCUGAUGCAGCGACGCCGCGUGGGUGAUGACGGCCUUCGGGUUGUAAACUCCUUUCGCUAGGGACGAAGCUUUUUGUGACGGUACCUAGAUAAGAAGCACCGGCUAACUACUU